GACUGGUUGUCUUCCUGGGGCCGCGCCGGCUGGCUCAUCGGUACUCAGGUGGAGUUCCAUCCCUGGCCCGCAGUCCGCACAAUCGAUAAUUUCACCGAUAUUAACAGCUGUUUAUAAGAGAAGAAACGCAUCACUAACAGAAAAACAAAACAGCUGCCGCGCAAUUGAAAAUUGCGCAAAAACAAAAGGAAAUCCAAAACAAACUAUUGACGACGGGCCACGCUUGGACCCCGGCGUACCCACCCUGCCUGAGAUGGCUACAUCGGCGACAUCUCCCUUAGCGUUGGCCACUAUAUCAGUGGCUGCUCCUCAUCCGGCGUAGUGCUGUGGAAUUCCCCUCCCUUCCAUGCUGAGAAACUUACACAACCAUGUUCAUCGUAUAAUAUUAAUAGAUAUUCGAAUUUCAUUACAGCUAUACGGAACAGUAUUCGAAGCAAAAGCAAAUAAAACAAACAAGGCGGAACAACAAAGAAAUAAUAACGGAGUAGGGACAAUUAUAUAUGGUAUGUAAAGAGAUCACAGAUAGGUAUAUUUAUGUAUGUAUGUAUACGCAUAUUUGGGUGUAUGUAUGUAUAUAAAUGUAUGUAUGCUUGAUUCGCUUAAAUGUCUACCUUGACCUGCCUAAGAGCUCUUGAGGUUUGGUGAAGGGGCGAUAGGUGAUGAUAUAGUCGAUAUAUGUAUAUACUUUUUUUUUAUAAAUAUAACCAAACAUUUGUAUUUCCGUAGAGGCAAAUGUUUAUCUGGAUAAAUUCUUGUCCAACACCUCUGUCAUUUCACAACAAAACAUUGAUUUAUUUUACUUUAAUUUGUACUCUACUUUAAUUAGCUUUAAUUUAUUUUACUUUAAUAUAAUUUUAAUUUACUUCGCAACAUU